rnacentral:lncRNA from 1 species
CUGGGACAGCGGCCCUCGUCCUUGUCGCCGUAGUCCUCUGCCACGACCGCAGCGCCAACGCCAGAGACGGAGUUGGCCGGGACUGCACGCCUCUCGUCGCUCCGCGUCCCCUGGCACCUUCUCUUGAGUGGCAGGCAAGCAAGCAAGCAAGCGGGCGGGGUCAGCGCCCCAAGAAGGGAAAGAGCGCGAGGGCCAGCUAACGCCGCCGCCGCCGUCGCCGCUGAGUCAGCGCGAAGCGCCCUCUCCGAAGUGGAGCCCUUCAUGGUCCCAGCUGAAAGCCUGGAGAGGCUGCGCGCGGUGGCUCACGCCUGUAAUCCCAACACUUUGAGAGGCCAAGGCAGGUGGAUCACUUGAGCGCAGGAAUUCAAGACCAGCCUGGGCAACAUGGCAAAACCCCAUCUCUACAAAAAGUACAAAAAUUAACCGGGCGUGGUGGUGGGUGCCUGUAGUCCCAGUUACUCCGGAGGCUGACGCAGGAGAAUCGCUUGAACCUGGGAGGCGCAGGUUGCAGUGAGCCGACAUCUCGCCACUGCACUCCAGCCUGGGGGACAGAAUGAGACUCCAACUCAAAAAAAGAAAAAAAGAAAAAGAAAGCCUGGGGAUAUUUACCAGGACCCUUCCUCCUUUUCAGGCCCUAGAUUCUAAGAUCCUGCUUUGCAGAUCUGAAGUGGGACCCAGGAAUCUUUAACAAGCUCUAAGGUAAUGGUAAUGCAAAAGUUACUCCCUCUCCCUCUCCCUCUCCGUCUCCCUCUCCCUCUCCCCACGGUCUCCCUCUCAUGCGGAGCUGAAGCUGGACUGUACUGCUGCCAUCUCGGCUCACUGCAACCUCCCUGCCUGAUUCUCCUGCCUCAGCCUGCCGAGUGCCUGCAAUUGCAGGCACGCGCCGCCACGCCUGACUGGUUUUGGUGGAGACGGGGUUUCGCUGUGUUGGCCGGGCCGGUCUCCAGCCCCUAACCGCGAGUGAUCCGCCAGCCUCGGCCUCCCGAGGUGCCGGGAUUGCAGACGGAGUCUCGUUCACUCAGUGCUCAAUGGUGCCCAGGCUGGAGUGCAGUGGCGUGAUCUCGGCUCACUACAACCUACACCUCCCAGCCACCUGCCUUGGCCUCCCAAAGUGCCGAGAUUGCAGCCUCUGCCCGGCCGCCACCCCGUCUGGGAAGUGAGGAGUGUCUCUGCCUGGCCGCCCAUCAUCUGGGAUGUGAGGAGCCCCUCUGCCUGGCUGCCCAGUCUGGAAAGUGAGGAGCGUCUCCUCCUGGCCGCCAUCCCAUCUAGGAAGUGAGGAGCGCCUCUUCCCAGCCGCCAUCACAUCUAGGAAGUGAGGAGCGUCUCUGCCCGGCCGCCCAUCGUCUGAGAUGUGGGGAGCGCCUCUGCCCUGCCGCCCCGUCUGGGAUGUGAGGAGCGCCUCUGCCCGGCCGAGACCCCGUCUGGGAGGUGAGGAGCGUCUCUGCCCAGCCGCCCCGUCUGAGAAGUGAGGAGACCCUCUGCCUGGCAACCGCCCCGUCUGAGAAGUGAGGAGCCUCUCCGCCCGGCAGCCACCCCAUCUGGGAAGUGAGGAGCGUCUCCGCCCGGCAGCCACCCCGUCCGGGAGGGAGGUGGGGGGUCAGCCCCCCCGCCCGGC